ensembl:lncRNA LINC00973 long intergenic non-protein coding RNA 973
CUCCCAAGCCUGGAAGAGAAUGAGAAGGAGGCAGUAGAAUAUCAUUAUAAUCAUACUACUUGUCCCAGGGGAUCCAUGUAUUCUACUGAAGAGUGGGAGUAGUUCAAAAUGGAGAAAUGAGGAAACCAUGACAAAGAGUCUGGAUAAUCAUUAGAACUGAUUAAAGUCAGGCUGCCCUAGAUUGAAAAGUGUGUGCCUCUGCUCACAGUGGAUCUGAAGUGGAUAUUGGAAGUACAUGCCCUCCUUGGAUGCUGAAUAGCUUUCUCAGGCCAUUCACAUGAAAACAGCUUGGAGAUUACUUCAUGGAACCGUGAUAUAAUUUGGAUAGUAACAGAUUUUAUAGAUUAAUGAAGCUUCCUGGUCUGAGGCAAGGACAAUUAUUCCCUCACUGUCAACCCUGAUCUCUGGCUGCAGUAAUGAGUAGAGGAAAUGAAGAAAUAAGAAUGGAAGCAUAAUCAUUUGUCCGAGGUCACAGAGGGAGAUGAUUACACAGCUGGAAUGUAAGCCUCAGUACUUUACUGAAUCCUUGGCUUUGUCCAUGGGCCCAGCUACAGGCAUAAAGCUUUUCUCUUCCCCAGCAGUGACUUCGAGUACCAGCUUUCAAAUUUAUUUGACAUUGAAUCUAAGCUUUGUGACCAGUAUGUAGAAGGAGAAGAAGGGGAGGAAUUACUUAUCCUUUGGCAUACAUUAGCAUGCAAAUAAAUCCUUUCUCUGCAUUGUGGAAGGGUCUGAAAUUAUCACAUAUACAAUGUAUCUUUUAUCAAUGGCCUUGCAUACAAAUUUUACUUUGAAGAAUCCAGAUUUAGAGGUCUUCUCCAAACAUUUGCAUUGUUUCUUUUUCUUAGGAUCAGAACUUCUACCUAUUGUCAUUUUAAGAAAAAAGAUCAUGAAUUAAUUAAUUUAUUCAUUAUUUACACCCUUAUAUUCUUUCCCAAAUGUUUUAAUGUGGCUUACAUUGUAUACAUGUACACAAUAAAUAUUUAUAUUUAAAUAAGUUAUAA